ensembl:lncRNA
CCUGAGGCACCCUCACCCUUUCCUGGGUGAACAUCUGUGAGGCACCUUUGACCACCCUGAGGCUGAGUGAGAAACCAGUCCUGAUGUUCUCCUUGCUCCCAGCUUUGCUGCCUGAAUGUGGAGCUCUGCCCGUCUUCUCAUCUCCAGGGUUCUCUGGUCAGGAAAUGUCAAUAUAUGCAGCCUGUACUGAACUACAGCAAGGGAACUGAGCGCUCAGUUAAAGUUGCAGGUAUUGUCCCUUGGAUCCAUCAUACGAGGGUGAAGAGAACAUACCAUGCAGACCCAAAAAAUGCUGAGUGGACAGCACCGAGGGACCCUGCUGACCCUCGAGGGACUAAGACCAUCCUUAAGAAGAAGGAAAAGAAGAUCCUGGACGAGCCCCUUCAGGAUGAAGCCGCACAAUCAACUCCUGCUGCUUGGCCUCAUCAACAUGAUUUUGAAUUGAACUUCUGUUUCAACUCAGGACAAUGUUUUCAUCUCAUGGGCACAUUCCUACGCAGACUUCCACAACACUUCCAAGUGCUGGGUAUGUAGGGCUAUGCCUCUCUCAGUCAUGGAUGGACUUCCUUGGUGGGUGUCACCGCUCUGACAAGGAGAUUUUAAACCACUCUGCUCUUUCUGGGAUGACAAGAAUAGACUUUCCUCUCUUGUCAAUCAUAACCUCUCCUUGCUCUCUUGGUGUAAGACCUAUAGUCAAUAGACUUGGGUCAUGGGGUUACAUUUGAUAUAAAUGCCAGUGUAAAAAAAAGCCUAACCUACUUGUUGUAAAUCUACCCCAGUAACCCCAGUAAAUCUACUUUAUUUACAUGCUAGGUGGACAAGAUCCGUGUUUCAAUGAUAUGAGUAUCAGAUCAGUUCAGUCACUCAGUCAUGUCCGACUCUUUGCGACCCCAUGAAUCGCAGCACACCAGGCCUCCCUGUCCAUCACCAACUCCCAAAGUUCACUCAGACUCAUGUCCAUCAAGUCAGUGAUGCCAUCUAGCCAUCUCAUCCUCUGUCAUCCCCUUCUCCUCCUGCUCCCAAUCCCUCCCAGCAUCAGAGUCUUUUCCAAUGAGUCAACUCUUUGCAUGAGGUGGCCAAAGUACUGGAGCUUCAGCUUUAGCAUCAUUCCUUCCAAAGAAAUCCCAGGGCUGAUCUCCUUCAGAAUGGACUGGUUGGAUCUCCUUGCAGUCCAAGGGACUCUCAAGAGUCUUCUCUAACACCACAGUUCAAAAGCA